rnacentral:misc_RNA from 1 species
AAUUUGGGAAGCUCAAUUUGGUGAUUUUGCUAAUGGAGCUCAAGUAAUAUUUGACCAGUUCGUGAGCAGUGGAGAAGCGAAAUGGUUGCGCCAGACUGGAUUGGUUGUGCUUUUGCCACAUGGUUAUGAUGGUCAGGGCCCUGAGCAUUCUAGUGGACGUUUGGAACGUUUCCUCCAGAUGAGUGAUGACAACCCGUUUGUUAUCCCGGAGAUGGAACCUACGCUAAGGAAGCAGAUUCAGGAAUGUAAUUGGCAGGUGGUGAAUGUAACAACUCCAGCAAAUUAUUUCCAUGUUUUGCGGCGUCAAAUUCACAGAGAUUUCCGUAAGCCUCUCAUUGUGAUGGCCCCAAAGAACUUACUUCGUCACAAGAGCUGCAAGUCAAAUCUAUCCGAGUUCGACGAUGUCCAAGGUCAUCCAGGUUUUGACAAACAAGGUACCAGGUUUAAGCGCCUGAUAAAAGAUCAG